CAACAGAGAUGGACCUAGAAGUUAUCAUACUAAGUCAAAGAAGUCAGACAGAAAAAGUGUGAAUGAGCGAAGAUAUAGUGUUGGUUUUGCUACAGCAAUCUAUGAACAUGGUGGCCUGAGACAAAUGCUAGUCCUAAUGAAGCAGAGCCAAGAAGUGAGAACUCUGACUAUCUUCCCAGGGGACUGUUUCCAAGAUGUCCCAAAGCUGCAAAUCCCUGAGAAGCCACAGAGAUCAGCUGACCUGAAGUUGACCAUUGGCUGUAGCUUCUGGUACCUUGUACCCCUGCCAGAUGUUUUCAUAAUAACAUCAACUUCCAUUUCCCACCAGCUUUUGCACCUGCCUGCCAUUCCCUGAAUGCCAGUGUGACUAAUGAGUGCCAGAGGCAGCAGAUGGGAAGGGGUUGUACCUCCCAGUCCCCUCCAGUUAAGCUCCAAGAGCUUUGAUUUCAGGGACUUCUCAACACUCAAGGAGUAGAAAGAAAUGGAGAAAGGUACUUUAAGCCAAGAGUAAUGUUUCCUCUCACGAUGAUUGAAAUGUGGAAUGUGUUCAAGGUGAGAACACAAAGAGAACUGAACAACCGUGUCUAUUUGAAAAAGGUCCAGAAAUAGCUCAUUAUAUGAAAUUAAGGAUUUGAGAGUGAAUAAGUAAAAGAAUUGCCAAAUAGUGGCAUAACCUCUGCAUCUAUGCAAUCCUUUUGUGCUUUCCACCAUGAUGGUAAGUAGAAAGUGGUUCCAAGAAACUGAUCCUAUGACUCUUUACCCACAGAGUCCUGUAUGCUGUGCGUGAAGUCCAAAUCCAUGCACGGUAUGCAAGGCCUUCUAAAAUCUAAACCCUUACAGUCCUGUCUUAUCACAUUUGUAGUUCCCCAAACAGUGGUGCCUGGUCCAUGGUGAAAACUCAACAUAAAGAUAAAUAAGCUUAAGUCCUCUGCCUGGAUAAUACUUCAUCUUUAAAGAACCAGAUUUAACAGUUACUAUCAUAUAUGUACUUCUCUAAUAGCAGCCAUGAGGCUGUGAGCUCCUUAUGCAAGAACAUCAUCAUCCUGGUCUGUAUUCCAGAAGCUACCUAGCAUAGUUCCAGGUAUUCAGAGCAUACACAAAAGUAUUGAAUGGAUAAUAAACAAGCAGUUGAAGCACAAGGAUGUGUGGUGCCUUAACCAAGAGCAUUUUGUAGAACCUCAAUCAGGACUAGAUUUUAAAUAUAUAAUUUUAGUCCCAGCUCUCUUCAAAACCCCACCAGAAAUUCUGUAUUACAUGAAUCUUUUUUGCUUUGUUUUGCCUUGAAAAUCUAUAGCUAUAUAUAAAGUGAACGCCUGGUGAGUGGGCGGAUGGUGGUGUUCACUCUUAUUUAGUGAAAUGUGAAUAUGUCAGAAUUACAGAAAAUAGAAAGAAAAUGGUUUAUUCAAAGCUGUCAAUUUUCAUGCCUGUUUUUUUAAAAUCUGAGAUGAUGCCGAGAUGGUUCAAACUUAAUAUUCACAUCCAUUUUAUCACAUCAAAUAUGAUCAUUAGCAAACAGUGUUUGAUGGUAGCUAUUUCCUGACUGACAAUAGCCAUCCGGAGGUACCCACUUUCCCAUAUGCCUGGGGCUGAUACAAUUCAGAUAGUGUGGAAAACAGUUGGAGGAAGGAAGUAAUUAAAAAUAAAGGGGAAGCUGGGGCAGGGGCUAGGUACCAAUUUUAUCUCUCACAAGAAUAUCCCUAUACCUAUUUUUUUGAAAGUUAUGGGUGGGGACAGAAAUACUAUUUUUAAACUUGAUUCAUGUCCUCAAGUUGGCAUGCAGUCUUGCCCAUAAGAUGAGUGUCAGGAAACCCUAAGGGUGGGCACUAGUGUUUAAAAUAAGCUCAGGCUGUAGCCUAAGAAAACAGGAAGAAAUUAUCUCUAGAGCACUGUGGAUUUGGAGGAAUCUGGAAAAGGGGACAGGGGUAAAAUUACAAAUUCAGUGUCUCAAGCAAUAAUUUGUAACUGGUUACUUCUCCCCACCUACGCAACCACCUUAAGCAACUUUUCACUGUCACCAGCAAUAAUUUCACCAUGGGGAGCA